AUGAGGAACUCGCCGCUCCCUCCAAGAACCAAACUGGUCUCUGAACCCGAGUGCAGGCGAUCCGUCACCUCCAGCGAUAAUCCCAACAACCUGCUGUAUCUGCAAAUGAACAGCCCGAGACCCCAGUACACCGCCCGCCCAGUCCCGGACGCUCACCCUGCUCAGUCAGCGCCGGGCUUCAGCUUCCCAUCCCGCCUGGGGAACGAGCCGCCAGCAGCAGACGUGACCCCCAUCCCGGCCAUCACCUUCCUCCUGCUGCUCCCAGCGGGUGUCUAUUCCCAGGUCAGCCUGGUGGAGUCCGGAGGGGGAGUCAAGAAGCCCGGGGAGACCCUCAGACUGACCUGCACCGUGUCCGGAUUCUCUCUCACUAGCUACGAGGUGCACUGGGUCCGCCAGCCAACGGGGAAAGGGCUGGACUGGCUGGGAGUUAUCUGGACGGGUGGGGUCACUGCUUAUAGCAACGCUCUCAAAAAUCGUCUCAGCGUCACCAAAGACAACUCCAAAAGCCAAGUGUUCCUGCAACUGACCGGCCUGCAACCCGGAGACACCUCCGUGUAUUACUGUGCCAGAGAAACACAGUGA